GGGGGCCUGAUCCCUGCUGCUGUCCCACGCUAGGCCUCAUGGAAGCCACUCUGACCCAAGAAUUGAUGCUAGAUUGAGACACUAGGGAAGAAAACAUCCUCCGUUGCUUUUUGCAAGUUUCCCCAAGGACAGAUUUCAUCAGUAUCAACCAAGAAUGCAGCAUUUCUUCGAAGAUUCUACUCUGCUUGCAAGCAAAGAAAAAGAACUAGUAUGUCUAUGUAACAGUGCCAUCUCAUGUUCGUGCAGAUCCUCUUCUCACAUCUCUCCUGUUUUGUGGGCAUUUGUCUGACAAAGCCAUAGAACCGAUAGACCAACAUCCAUUGGCUCACAGCAGUCCUGAAUUCAGUUAUACACCUACUUCCAGGACUAGAACUACUUCUGCAUGAAUGCUAUCAAAGCAUGAGCUCUAGUUAAAUAUUAAGAACAAAGGGAAAACUUGGUAGAUAAAAAAUGCAUUUGAAAAU